CGGCAAGAAGUGGCUGCGGAACGAAUUGCGCCUGCGCGGAUGACGAGUCCCCAGAACACGUGCACCUUAUAAGCCAGGAAACUUCCCCUCUGACGGCAGUUUGGCAGCAAUGCUCGCAAGCUUCACGUCGCUAACAAGUAUUCUCUGUACGCAGGUGAGAAUUUCGCUACUGCACCUAAAUUCUAUUAUUGCUAGCACUGCUGCCAAGCACCAUUGCCUACGUUGUGUCGGCUUGCUGUUGUCUUGUUGAAGGAUGAAUAAGAAAGUAGACGUGUUUCAGCGAGAGAUACGAAAGGAA